AUUACAGAAGAGCAACAGUUCCAGACAGCUGUCACCUUCAUAAAACAACACUAUUGGGGAUCCAAGAAUGCAGUACUGCAGGUGGAGUCUCAUGAGAGGAAUGCAGAGAGGGAAUCACCUUCCUGAACCUACAUGUCACUAUUCAUGUGAUGCAGCCUAGGGUAUGGUUGGCUUCCUAAGCUGCAAGGAUGUUUCCAGCUUAUACUGAACUUCUCAUCAACCAACACCUCCAAGUCCCUCUUCUCAAAGCUGUUUUCAGUCCACUCAUUUCUCAGACUGUGUCUGUGCUUGAGAUUGCUCUGAUCCAGGCAUACUACCUUGAACUCAGCCUUCUUGAACUUCAUGGGCUCACCUCUGAAGCCUGUCAAAGAUCCACUGGAUGGCAUCCCUUUCCUCCAGCGUGCACCAUGAAAUGUUAUACACAGAAAUCAAUAUGCUCAGUUAAGAGAAUAAUAGAAAAAAGUAUGUUUAUUUUGUGUGAUCGUCUCCAAAACCAGAAAAUGAUAAUCUGCUUUUCCAAACUUAAGUUUUCUUUAAUCAGUUCCUUUCCAGGCAGUGAGUGACCACUAAAUUUCAGUGUUACAUUUUGACAGGAAAAUGCAAAGGUAGCAUGUUUUGUAACUUCUUUUUGCAAGUGAAUGAUACAAAACAAUUUCUAUAGUAUUACCCAGUGGUAGAAAAACUUUGUCAAAACCAUGCUUUGAUGAAAUGUAAAAUUUUUUUUGAAGACAACACUGGAAUAUUUAAGCAAGUACAUACUCUGCUAUUCUAAGAAAUGCAAUUUCUGGCUUGCAGAACUGUGCAUCAGAAUGAGUAUUUCUCAUUGUGUCUGAUUUAUUCGUUGCAGUUAGUUAUUAGCCAGAUCUACCGAAUUUCCUAUCAGGAUGUCAUUCUCUUUUAAAGGCAUAUGUGUGUUAUUGCAACCCUUAAUUUAUCGAUCCUUUACAAUAUAAAAGCCCUAUUCAUUGUUUCUUAAUAGAAAUGUAAUCAUGCUGACCUAUGUCACCUUAUUGCUUUUUUUUUGAAUGCUUUGAGUGCUAUCUUCAAUGUAAUUAUAUCAUUAAUGUUAUUAAUGACUCACAUCAACCUAUAGCUUGUAAUAGUCUCCUCAAAUUUAAUAGAUUUGUUUCUUAUUUCAUUUAUAUGUACAAAAAUGACUAUAGCAACAAUGUCGUUUGUAGAUUUGCAUGUAAAAGUAUUCUACUGAGUAUUCUGUGAGUAACGGGGCUAUCAAGG
ensembl:lncRNA